GUCGAGCGAUCAAUAGGAGCUUGCUCCUGUUGGUUAGCGGCGGACGGGUGAGUAACACGUGGGCAACCUGCCUGUAAGACUGGGAUAACACCGGGAAACCGGUGCUAAUACCGGAUAAUUCUUUCCCUCUCAUGAGGGAAAGUUGAAAGUCGGUUUCGGCUGACACUUACAGAUGGGCCCGCGGCGCAUUAGCUAGUUGGUGAGGUAACGGCUCACCAAGGCGACGAUGCGUAGCCGACCUGAGAGGGUGAUCGGCCACACUGGGACUGAGACACGGCCCAGACUCCUACGGGAGGCAGCAGUAGGGAAUCUUCCACAAUGGACGAAAGUCUGAUGGAGCAACGCCGCGUGAGCGAUGAAGGCCUUCGGGUCGUAAAGCUCUGUUGUUAGGGAAGAACAAGUACCGGAGUAACUGCCGGUACCUUGACGGUACCUAACCAGAAAGCCACGGCUAACUACGUGCCAGCAGCCGCGGUAAUACGUAGGUGGCAAGCGUUGUCCGGAAUUAUUGGGCGUAAAGCGCGCGCAGGCGGUCCUUUAAGUCUGAUGUGAAAGCCCACGGCUCAACCGUGGAGGGUCAUUGGAAACUGGGGGACUUGAGUGCAGAAGAGGAAAGCGGAAUUCCACGUGUAGCGGUGAAAUGCGUAGAGAUGUGGAGGAACACCAGUGGCGAAGGCGGCUUUCUGGUCUGUAACUGACGCUGAGGCGCGAAAGCGUGGGGGAGCAAACAGGAUUAGAUACCCUGGUAGUCCACGCCGUAAACGAUGAGUGCUAAGUGUUAGAGGGUUUCCGCCCUUUAGUGCUGCAGCUAACGCAUUAAGCACUCCGCC
rnacentral:rRNA from 2 species